GCGUCCUGAGCGCCGAGUGGAGUGCCUGGCCAGCCCCCCACGACGGACCUCUGACUAAGGACACUGCUCCUGCGACAUCAUCUAAGUCGCCAAAGACAAUCCUCACACCUUUAGAAAUGAUGUCUCAAAUCAUCAUCAAAGGCAGAGCAAGGCUUCUUUCGAUAGCAGGUGGAGAGCUCAAGUGGGUUCCAGCAAAAAACGUGAAGCCAUACCACGCAUCAAAGCCUGCCGACGCCUCCACACCAGCCAGUGACCCUGCAAGUGGAAGCCAGGAAGCAAGCACCCAGACCUGAAGUGCGCAGAAUCACCAGAAGAAAGUGAUCUGCCAAAAACAGCUCAAGAAAAGAAUGGAGUUUUCUCAUUUGCGCGCGUGCAUGUUGCUUUUAUUCUUAUGUUUUAGUUUUUGUAGUGAAGCUUUACCUGUAAAUCAACCAAAGACAAAUGUCUGGGUUGCCUUAGCCAAAUCUGCAGGCUCCGAUACCAU